rnacentral:rRNA from 1 species
ACCCCUACGGGAGGCAGCAGUGGGGAAUAUUGCACAAUGGGCGCAAGCCUGAUGCAGCCAUGCCGCGUGUAUGAAGAAGGCCUUCGGGUUGUAAAGUACUUUCAGCAGUGAGGAAGGGGUGUAUGUUAAUAGCGUGCAUCUUUGACGUUAGCAACAGAAGAAGCACCGGCUAACUCCGUGCCAGCAGCCGCGGUAA